rnacentral:snRNA from 1 species
GUGCUCGCUUCAGCAGCACAUAUACUAAAAAAUGGAAUGAUACAGAGAAGAUCAGCAUGGCUCCUGUGCAAGGAUGACACGCAAAUUCAUGAAGCGUUCCAUAUUAAA